rnacentral:lncRNA from 1 species
GGUGGGUAUGGUUGUCCUGCGAGAGAACGUUCUGUGCUGGUGAUUCGGUCCUGACGGGUGCUGGUGAUCAAUGAAAAAAUGUAAACAAAGACGAAAAUGAUGAUUUUUGACGUUUUCACUCAUAAAAAAUUGAAGAAAACAGUUGAGAUUUUUCAAUUUUGUUUCUUAUGGGUUCAUAUGUAAACCAUUAAAAAGUUGACCCUCUAAACUGUUUCAGUAAGCGUAAC